UUUUGUCUUACGAAAAGAUAGAUAAUGAAAAUUGUAAGCUUGCGAAGAUAAAUUCAUUCGAUGAUAAUUUGCAUUGUUGGAAUUUAAAUUCCUAGAGCUUAGAAGCAAUCGUCAUGGUCGUAUGUACCCUGACAGUCGUUUUAUUUAUUUGUGGAGUCGUCGUUAAAGGAAACACUGUAUAUGAUUCUUGUAACUUCGAGCAAGACCUAUGCGGCUGGACACAGGACAACACUACAGAUGACGGCAAUUGGAAAAGAUGGAGAGGACGCACCCCCACGAGUUCCACUGGUCCCUUGUAUGAUCAUACAACAGGAACAAGUUAUGGGGUUUUCAUGUAUAUGGAAUCAAGCUACACGAACAAGACUGAUAAAUUGCGCCUGGUGUCACCUUUGUUUCAACCAGAACAAAGUCGCAGUGGCUUCGAACUCUGGUAUCAUAU